rnacentral:rRNA from 1 species
AUUGAACGCUGGCGGCAGGCCUAACACAUGCAAGUCGAACGAGUGGCGGACGGGUGAGUAAUGUCUGGGAAACUGCCUGAUGGAGGGGGAUAACUACUGGAAACGGUAGCUAAUACCGCAUACCAUCGGAUGUGCCCAGAUGGGAUUAGCUAGUAGGUGGGGUAAAUGCUCAACUAGGCGACGCUCCCUAGCUGGUCUGAGAGGAUGACCAGCCAGACUGGAACUAGUGCACGGGCCAGACUCCUACGGUAGGCAGGAGUGGGAAAUAUUGCAGAAGGGGCGCAAGCCGGAUGCAGCCGUUCCGCGUGUAUGAAGAAGGCCUUCGGGUUUUAAAGUACUUUCAGCGGGGAGGCGUUACCCGCAGAAGAAGCACCGGCUAACUCCGUGCCAGCAGCCGCGGUAAUUC